rnacentral:rRNA from 1 species
UACGUAGGUGUCAAGCGUUGUCCGGAUUUAUUGGGCGUAAAGCGCCCGCAGGCGGCUUGCCAAGUUCGAUGUGAAAUCUCCCGGCUCAACUGGGAGGGUGCAUCGAAAACUGGCAGGCUUGAGGCAGGGAGAGGGAUGUGGAAUUCCAGGUGUAGCGGUGAAAUGCGCAGAUAUCAGGAGGAACACCGAUUGCGAAGGCAGCUCGCUGGGACGUUACUGACGCUGAGACGCGAAAGCGUGGGGAGCGAACAGG